rnacentral:rRNA from 1 species
UCUCGCGUGAGGGAUGACGGCCUAUGGGUUGUAAACCUCUUUUUUCAGGGAGGAAUCAAUGACGUGUACCUGAAGAAUAAGCAUCGGCUAACUCCGUGCCAGCAGCCGCGGUAAGACGGAGGAUGCAAGUGUUAUCCGGAAUCACUGGGCGUAAAGCGUCUGUAGGUGGUUUAAUAAGUCAACUGUUAAAUCUUGAAGCUUAACUUCAAAAUCGCAGUCGAAACUAUUAGACUAGAGUAUAGUAGGGGUAAAGGGAAUUUCCAGUGGAGCGGUGAAAUGCGUAGAGAUUGGAAAGAACACCGAUGGCGAAGGCACUUUACUGGGCUAUUACUAACACUGAGAGACGAAAGCUAGGGUAGCAAAUGGGAUUAGAUACCCCAGUAGUCCUAGCCGUAAACAAUGGAUACUAGAUGUUGAACAGAUCGACCUGUGCAGUAUUAAAGCUAACGCGUUAAGUAUCCCGCCUGGGAAGUAUGCUCGCAAGAGUGAAACUCAAAGGAAUUGACGGA